rnacentral:rRNA from 1 species
ACAACCUGCCGCAUGCAGGGGGAUACCGGCUGGAAACAGCCGCUAAUACCGCAUAUGCGCACGGCGCCGCAUGGCGCAGUGCGGAAAGGGAGCAAUCCCGGCAUGCGAUGGGUCCGCGUCCGAUUAGCUUGUUGGCGGGGCAGCGGCCCACCAAGGCGACGAUCGGUAGCCGGCCUGAGAGGGCGGACGGCCACAUUGGGACUGAGACACGGCCCAGACUCCUACGGAAGGCAGCAG